GGAUGUUUCUCUUCUCUGUGGACUGCAGGCCCUUCCCAUGGAGGGAAGUCAGAACUUCUCAAGUAGUUUGGGAAAAUGCAGCACUGAAAAUUAUACUUGCCCAGACAAGCCGGCACAGAACUGACUUUGCUGGAACGGGGGACGGGAAAGUGAAUACGUCGGCCAAAACCCAGGCAUUAAAAUUUCAAAAAAAGGUCCUGUGUUCUAUCGGUCGUGUCCAGAAUUCUUGGUCCACCUGGCCAAGGUUGCCAAGCAUGCAAGA